rnacentral:rRNA from 1 species
GACGAACCGUGCGAACGUUGUUCGGAAUCACUGGGCUUAAAGGGCGCGUAGGCGGGCCUUCAAGUCCGGGGUGAAAUCCUCCCGCCUAACGGGAGAAGAGCCUCGGAGACUGAGGGCCUCGAGGAGGGUAGGGGCGUGCGGAACUCUGGGUGGAGCGGUGAAAUGCAUUGAUAUCCAGAGGAACUCCGGUGGCGAAGGCGGCACGCUGGACCCUUUCUGACGCUGAGGCGCGAAAGCCAGGGGAGCAAACGGG